rnacentral:rRNA from 1 species
AGUCGAACGGUAUACAGAGCUUGCUCUGUAGAGAGUGGCGAACGGGUGAGUAACACGUAGAUAAUCUGCCUUGAGGUUGGGGAUAGCCUGUGGAAACACAGGGUAAUACCGAAUAAGCCCUAUGGGGGAAAGGUGCUAAGGCAUCGCCUUAAGAUGAGUCUGCGGCUCAUUAGGUAGUUGGUGGGGUAAAGGCCUACCAAGCCUGCGAUGAGUAGCCGGCCUGAGAGGGUGGACGGCCACACUGGGACUGAGACACGGCCCAGACUCCUACGGGAGGCAGCAGCUAAGAAUCUUCCGCAAUGGGCGCAAGCCUGACGGAGCGACGCCGCGUGAACGAAGAAGGCCGUGAGGUUGUAAAGUUCUUUUCUUACUGAAGAAUAACCGGAUGAGGGAAUGCUUCCGGGAUGACGUUAGGUAAGGAAUAAGCCCCGGCUAAUUACGUGCCAGCAGCCGCGGUAACACGUAAGGGGCAAGCGUUGUUCGGAAUUAUUGGGCGUAAAGGGCGUGUAGGCGGUUGUGCAAGUCUGGUGUGAAAUACCGCAGCUUAACUGCGGGGACGCGCUGGAAACUGCACGACUAGAGUACAGGAGGGGGACCUGGAAUUCCUGGUGUAGGGGUGAAAUCUGUAGAUAUCAGGAAGAACACCGGUGGCGAAGGCGAGGUCCUGGCCAUGUACUGACGCUGAGGCGCGAAAGCGUGGGGAGCGAACAGGAUUAGAUACCCUGGUA